rnacentral:rRNA from 1 species
AGGCGGCUUGCCGCCGAAGUGAGCGAUACCCUGCUUCCAGGAAAAGCCACUAAGCUUCAGCUACACACGACCGUACCGCAAACCGACACUGAUGCGCGAGAUGAGUAUUCUAAGGCGCUUGAGAGAACUCUGGAGAAGGAACUCGGCAAAUUGACACCGUAACUUCGGAAGAAGGUGUGCCUUUAGUAGGUGAUCCAUUUACUUGGUGAGCCCAAUGAGGCCGCAGAGAAUCGGUGGCUGCAACUGUUUAAUAAAAACACAGCACUCUGCAAAGACGAAAGUCGACGUAUAGGGUGUGACGCCUGCCCGGUGCUGGAAGAUUAAAUGAUGGGGUGCAAGCUCUUGAUUGAAGUCCCAGUAAACGGCGGCCGUAACAAUAACGGUCCUAAGGUAGCGAAAUUCCUUGUCGGGUAAGUUCCGACCUGCACGAAUGGCGUAAUGAUGGCCACACUGUCUCCUCCAGAGACUCAGCGAAGUUGAAAUGUUUGUGAUGAUGCAAUCUCCCCGCGGAAAGACGGAAAGACCCCAUGAACCUUUACUGUAGCUUUACAUUGGACUUUGAACAGAUCUGUGUAGGAUAGGUGGGAGGCUUUGAAGCGGUGCCGCUAGGUGUCGUGGAGCCAACCUUGAAAUACCACCCUGGUGUGUUUGAGGUUCUAACCUUGGCCCGUUAUCCGGGUUGGGGACAGUGUAUGGUGGGCAGUUUGACUGGGGCGGUCUCUUCCCAAAGUGUAACGGAGGAGUUCGAAGGUACGCUAAAUACGGUCGGAAAUCGUGUUGAUAGUGCAUUGGCAUAAGCGUGCUUGACUGCGAGACUGACAUGUCGAGCAGGUACGAAAGUAGGACAAAGUGAUCCGGUGGUUCUGUAUGGAAGGGCCAUCGCUCAACGGAUAAAAGGUACUCUGGGGAUAACAGGCUGAUACCGCCCAAGAGUUCAUAUCGACGGCGGUGUUUGGCACCUCGAUGUCGGCUCAUCUCAUCCUGGGGCUGUAGCCGGUCCCAAGGGUAUGGCUGUUCGCCAUUUAAAGAGGUACGUGAGCUGGGUUUAAAACGUCGAGAGACAGUUUGGUCCCUAUCUUCCGUGGGCGCUGCAAGAUUGAGAGAGCCUGCUCCUAGUACGAGAGGACCGGAGUGGACGCACCUCUGGUGUAUCGGUUGUCACGCCAGUGGCAUUGCCGAGUAGCUAAGUGCGGAAGAGAUAACCGCUGAAAGCAUCUAAGCGGGAAACUCGUCUCAAGAUGAGUCUUGCCGGGGCCUUGAGCCCCCUGAAGGGUCGUUCGAGACCAGGACGUUGAUAGGUCGGGUGUGGAAGCGCAGUAAUGCGUUAAGCUAACCGAUACUAAUUGCCCGUGAGGCUUGACCCU